rnacentral:rRNA from 1 species
ACUAUUGGUCAAUGGGCGCAAGCCUGAACCAGCCAUCCCGCGUGCAGGAAGACGGCCCUAUGGGUUGUAAACUGCUUUUCCAGGGGGAGAAUUUUUCUGUCGUGACAGGAAUUGACGGUACCCUGGGAAUAAGCAUCGGCUAACUCCGUGCCAGCAGCCGCGGUAAUACGGAGGAUGCGAGCGUUAUCCGGAUUUAUUGGGUUUAAAGGGUGCGUAGGCGGAUUGAUAAGUCAGUGGUGAAAACCUGCAGCUUAACUGUAGACUUGCCGUUGAUACUGUCAGUCUUGAGUGUGGUCAAGGUAGGCGGAAUGUGUAAUGUAGCGGUGAAAUGCUUAGAUAUUACACAGAACACCGAUUGCGAAGGCAGCUUACUGGGCCAUUACUGACGCUGAUGCACGAAAGCGUGGGGA